CUUCUCUCCGCGCUCGGCUGUGUUUGUUUUCCCCUCCCGGCUCCGCUUCCGUCCCUCAGGACUCCCCGCUCGGUCCCGGUGGCCGCUUCCCAGCUCCCUGCCCUGCUCCCCGAAACCAGGAAGGACGGGCAGGCGGAAAGUUCAGCUUAAGGAAAUAAAAGAGGAGCCCGGGUUCUUCCCCAAGUGUGACCGUGCCUGCCAGGAGGGUCUCGGCUCUCCCAGGCCGGCACAAACUCGCCUGUGUUUAUGGGGACGUGUAACUGUAUCGGCUCCGUUAGGAAUUGUUUCUCGGCGUUAGGAACUGGGCAGGUUCUGCGCUGCGCCUGGUAACGCUUAAUGGAUCAGAUCAUGGCAGGGAAAAUAGUUUCGACUUUGUACAGAGAAAGAGUUUCGGGAAGGGUGGACUUGGGAGGGUGUUUCUAGAGAACUGUGGGUGGAACAACUGAUAAAGACUUGUUUCCUCUGUUUCAUUUGGCACCUCUCUGAUUUAUCUGGGCUCUGCCUUUGUGUGCAUCAAUAUGUAGGUUUAUUAACAAAGAAGCGAGCGCUAAAUGCUGGUCUGCCACACAUUGUCAAAAAGUAACAUCAAACUAUGGGAAACUUCGGUAGGUUGUACUUGUGGCUAAGCCGUGAGGAAAAAAAGCAGGGUGGUUUGCAUGGUCAGAAGCCAUCCUGUUGUUUAUAUGGUUAGGAGUGGGAUGCACCAAAGAAUUUAGGUUUUUCUUCGUAAAUUCUUGUAAGGUACCGAGAUAUUUCAGACUUAAUUGUUGGCAUGCUUUCAAGGCGUCUUUGUUUUCUGAACUAAAUGGUGCUGGCACAGAACUAUCUCAAAAUAAUUAAUUAACCAGUUGUGAGGGUUGUUUUCACUGUUUAAUUCCAGGCAAGCAGUUGUGCCUUAAAAAUCGUAGUAAAAAUGUGAGGUGUAGUCCUCUAGAUGUAUAAAAGAAAGUUCAGGCAUUGUAUUUCAGAAAUUCCUGUUAAUUUUUUUUUUUUUGAGAGAAAAAUGGGCACCUUCAACAUUUCUAGGCACCAGGAAGCACACCUCACUAUCAGCUGGUAGAAGUGCAUGUCUUUGGUGUGUAGCAGUGCAGGCCGGCAUUAAUAUCUGUGUGGAAAGGGCAGGUUCAUGAUUCUUAAAGAAGUUACUGUGAGAGCAGUGCAAACUGGAAAGGACUGAAAAGAACCCAACAAUUUACAUUUCAUUUAUGUGCAGUGCAUCUGGUCUCAUUAAUCUUACACAGAUCUUGAAGCUAAGUUGCAUUUAUAUGUAAAGUUCUCUGGUUUUAACCCACACAGGUAUUAAAUAGUAAUAAUUUUGGAAAUUUCAUUAAUCAGCACUGUAAGGAUAAUUAGGGUUUUGUAUGUUUGGUGUAAGAUUGGAGUAUUUUUAUGGGAUACAUGAGUUUGAACUCUUUCAGAAUUAAACAAGGCCUUGUGUCUGUACUGUGCAGGCACUCCACAUAUUCUAUUGUAAUACUCUUUAGAUAUAAAGGUAUAGAUUAACAGAACCAACUGUAACGUUAGCUCACAGCUAAGUAUGAAUCAUAAAAUCAACUUCUGAAAAGUGGUGCAGCAUAAUUUGUAUGGUUUAUUUGAGCAGGUUUAGUAAAAUCUUUUAGUUUUCUUAAAAAAUUAUUUUCAGUUGUUGUUUAUAUUGUUCUUAAAAUUAUGUGAAGGAAAUGCAAUCAAAAGCAAUCAGUAGUGCUGCUGCACUGUGAAAUGUUCUUCAGAGUCUGUCGGGCUGCUUCACAGCUUUUGGUAGGUUAUGCCAGUGUGGUUAAAGCAGACACGUUAUCAGAAGUUUGGCCCAAUAGGCCCAGAAACAUUCUUCAUGAUGUUCUGGUAUUAGAUCACUUGUAGUGUUUUCUUCUGCUUCCUUUGCUUGCACUGCAUAAAUAUCACCUUCAUAAAACCAGUGGUCCAGCAGGUCAGUUAGAAUACUGUUCAAAUAGUAUAAGAAGGAAAAGUCACACCAUUUAUUUUGUUUUCUUUCUGUUAAUAAUUAGGGAAAGCUAAAAUUUCAUUUCUGGUAUAUGGUGUCUAUUUGAGAUAGGGUAUAUGUACCUUGACUUUUUAAGAAUUCUUUUUUUGGAAGUGAAUCUCAGCAUUUUCCCAACACUCCUGGCUUAAGGCAUCUCUUCACUCACUGGUGCUGUUAUGAAUUUUGAUGUGUGUGAAGUGGUGCUUAAGUUGGGUAAUAUGAUUGGCAGCUUUUUGCAGCAUGCUUUGUUGCAUGUGAUGAAGAUGCAUGCAGGUAUAUUAAUCAGUACUUAAUUAUCCAUACAUAAUGAUGUUCGUAGAGGAGUGGAAAUAACUAAUUUAACCUCUCCUUCUACCUAAGGGUCAUUAAAAAAAAAAGGGAAAGAGCAAUAGCAAACACAAAGGAGAACUGUUGAGGUUUCUGACAGGCUUGGAUUUAACAAGAGUGACCAUGCCUUGGCUAGGCUGGUGAAAUGCUGAAAAUCAUUGCAAAUCUGUGAUAAAUAGUUUCUUGUCACUGGUGCAACAUGCUCUUUUUAUGUUGCUAGGACUUCCAAGUUGUAUCUUAGUGUCUUGUGCUGCUGGAUAUUGAACUGCUCCCGGUGAGCAUAGGAGAAAUUCUGCUUUUUUUCUGGACACAUGGGGGAGUUGUGGGAAGGCAUUUAUGAGCUAUCAGCAUCUGAGUGAUUUAGUUGUGUUCUUAUUAUAAAUUGGGAAGAACAGUAGCCUUCAUAAAUAUGGCAGCAUUCAGCCUCCAGCAUUUAUUUGGAGUUUAAAAUAAAAACAUUAUGGCUGAGACAGUGCCUAGUCAAGACAGCUGUCAGAUGGUUGUUUCAGAAAUGCCUAUGGUAAUUAAAAAUAAAUAAAAUCAGGUGUUUAGGUUAUUGCUUUGAAAUACUGUUGCCCAAAAGCCUCAGACUGCAGUUUGUUUAUACUUCUAAAAGAUCCAAAGUUUUGGUUUUGCAGUAUGGCAGAGCUGCUGUGCUGAGUUCUGCUGUCUGGUGGUCCUGCCCUGGCCAUGCACUCCCACCUCUCCUCCUGGCGUGAGAAGUCAAUCCA